GGCAUGUGCCCUGACCGGGAAUCAAACCUGUGACCUCCUGGUUCAUGGGUUGAUGCUCAACCACAGAGUUACCAGCCAGGCACAUCUAUUUCCUAAGAGUUGUAACGUUAAAUCAGAAUGUGUAUGUCCUUGUUAUGGGAGUAUUCAACAUAUGCAGUAGGUCCACUUAUACAUGGAUUUUUUCAGUUAAGUAUACAGUCGGCCCUUUGUAUCCCCAGGUUUCAUAUCCACAGAUUGAAAAGAGUAUUUCUGAUCUGCAGUUGGGAAUCGUGGAUGCAGAGGACCAACUUUUUGAUGGAAGAGUAAGAAGUGUUUAGAUACCAGGUAGGCAAUGGACAAAAUCCUGGGCAUACUCACAGGGUUACGAACGAAGCAUGUGAACAUGAUUCAUGUGCGUCACAGAAGACAAAAAGGUUAGUAAGCUGCUCUGGGAAAUUGAUUUGAUAGGAUAUAGCAUUUCUUAUCAAUGAUGAGAGAAGAAGAAAUUAACACUAGAUCUUGAGUUUCGUUAGUUGUCAACUAAUUUUAGGGUACUUUCUCUAAGCUAUAUCAUGUGUUAGAUUUCAUAGGGAUUGUGGUAUAAGAAAGCUUUGUUGAAUACAUUCAUUCUGUGUACAAGGUAAUAAGAGGAAAAAAAGACUUAAAAUAGAAGCUAGUUCAUAGCUAUAUCAGAUCAUAUUAACUGUUGGAAAGAGCGUAUACUAGAUCCAGUUUUGUCACUGAAUGCAUAACUUCAGAACCUGUGGUUUCUCCGGGCCUUAUUUUCUUCAUAUGUAAAUGGGUAGAGGUGAACUAGAUGACCUCCAAGGUUCCUUUAGAUUCUCAAACGCUUAAUUUAAGAAGUCUUUGAAAUGUUUAUUCAGGUUCUCUCUCUGAGGCAUUCCUGAGACAGAAAUGUUCCAUUUCAAACCUAAGACAGCCACAUCCCCGAAUCGGGUAUUUAAAAAGCUCCUCAAAGAAGGUAUCCUUGUUUUCAUCACUAUGCCCCAGUACAGAAUCUCUACAUACAGAAAGUGAGCACAGACUUAUAGUCUAGAUUGACAAUAGCUAGUGAUGAAGAUGAAAAGGGUAUACUUUAGUGUUGCUGUUGGCACCAAAUCUAAAAACGUAGGCCAUCAAAUAAGGCCUUUCAUUAAAUAACAUUCCUUACCUAACUUCUCCCUAUCUGAAAAAGCCCUUACUUUUCAGCUGAGUUGAUCACAUCCAUUUUCCCCUUCCUGAAUGCUCUUGUUGAUCCCUCCAUCUGGAAGGGCAGGGAGGAAAAAUAAUGCAUGUCCAUUAUUUCCUUCGAGACCAAGCUGUUUUACUUUACGCUUCAUCAGUAUGAACACAUGUAAUUUCUAGAAUCCUAUACCACCAUACGCUUACUUAUGUUCUUCUGCUCAUUCACAGAGGGUCCUCUUUUCUCCACAAUUAAGCUCGAAACACAUCUGAGUAGGCACUGAGUAAAUGUUUAUCUAGUUUGUGAGUGCAGCAGGAAUCUCAGAUGGCAAAGAACGAAAGCUUCAGGCUCCUCCUACCUUCCUGCGAUGCCAUUCCCAAAGCUCUUCCUUCCCUUCCCUUUCAUUUCCUGUCUGGAACCCCCUAUCUUCAAACCUAAUCUAAGGACCAAUUCUGGGCAUGAAAAGACAACACAGUUCAUCCUUUUAGUUUCAUAUUUUUUUCAGUUCAUUUCAUUAUAAACAUAAUAUAAAUGGCAUUGCCACCUUUUCCCCUCCUGGGGGUGAUCCAUCAAGCUUGUCAGUUGGGGCCCGCGCCAGUGAUUCACAGCUCAUCAUGCGGUAUGUGCAGGGCAUGGUCACA